rnacentral:rRNA from 1 species
CCUACGGGUGGCAGCAGUGGGGAAUAUUCGGCAAUGGGCGCAAGCCUGACCCAGCAACGCCGCGUGAAGGAAGAAGGCUUUCGGGUUGUAAACUUCUUUUCUCAGGGACGAAGAAAGUGACGGUACCUGAGGAAUAAGCCACGGCUAACUACGUGCCAGCAGCCGCGGUAAUACGUAGGUGGCAAGCGUUAUACGGAUUUACUGGGUGUAAAGGGCGUGUAGGCGGGGAAGCAAGUCAGAUGUGAAAGCCACGGGCUCAACCUGUGGCCUGCAUUUGAAACUGUUUUUCUUGAGUGCUGGAGAGGCAGACGGAAUUCCUAGUGUAGCGGUGAAAUGCGUAGAUAGUAGGAGGAACACCAGUGGCGAAGGCGGUCUGCUGGACAGCAACUGACGCUGAGGCGCGAAAGCGUGGGGAGCAAACAGGAUUAGAUACCCCAGUAGUC